rnacentral:tRNA from 1 species
GUCUUCGUGGUGUAAUGGGUUAGCCCGCUCGGCGCGUAUUCGAGAGGUCCGUGGUUCGAAUCCCGGCGACGGCA